rnacentral:misc_RNA from 1 species
GGGAUCUAUUCAUCUGGGCGCCGAUCAUCAUGGGUUCUGAAACAGUGCCUAAAAUUCCUCUUGUGAAUUUGUCCAAUGAAAGCCUGAGGCCUGGUACAAGCUCCUGGCAUUCAGCUUGCAAAGAUAUCAGGCAAGCACUUGAGGAAUAUGGGUGUUUGGAAGUAGGGUACAAUAAGCCUUCUGUUGAAUUCCACAACAGAAUUCUUGCUGCGCUUGAGGAAUUGUUUCAGCUUCCUCAAGAGGUGAAAAUGAAAAAUGUUAACCCCAAGCCUGCCCAUGGCUACAUGGGGAAAAUCUCCACCUUUCCUAUCCAUGAAGGCUUGGGGAUUGAAUAUGCAACCAGCGAAGAUGAAUGUCAAAAAUUCACUAGUCUCAUGUGGCCAGAUGGAAAUGGUCAUUUCUGUGAAACUGUUCACUCCUAUGCAAAGAUGGCGGCUGAACUGCAGCAGCUGCUGGUGAAAAUGCUGUGUGAAAGCUAUGGCAUAGAGAAACACAGUGAGUCUCACAUCAAAUCCACCACUUACCUUCUGCGUUUGUUGAGGUAUAGAAGAUCCCAAGCAGAAACUAAUCUUGGUUUCAAAGGUCACACCGAUAAGAGCUUUGUGUCUAUACUUCACCAGAAUCAUGUUAAGGGUUUGGAGAUAAGAACAAAAGAUGGAGAGUGGAUUUCUUAUGAGCCCUCCUCCCAUUCCUCUUUUGCAGUCGUAGCUGGUGAUGUCUGCAUGGCUUGGAGCAAUGACAGAAUAAAAUCCUGUUACCAUAGAGUGAUCGUGGAAGGUGAAGAUGUUAGAUAUGCCGUGGGGCUAUUUUCAUUUCUCACAGGGCUGAUAAAGGCACCAGAGGAACUAGUGGAUGAGGAACACCCAUUACAAUACUACCCAUUUGAACAUCAAGGCCUUCUUGAUUUCUAUCAGUCAAGCAAUUCUCUAAACAAAGGUGAUAGCAACAUGGUAAAAGCCUAUUGUGGAGUUUAAAAUAACAGGCCUCUCACUUUCUUUCUCUGUGUGUGUGUUUCUGUUUUUCAAUAUCCAUGUGUUUAGUUUAGCCUCUUGGAUGCAUGUAUUAAUUAUAUUGCAGAGGCUAUAGUGGUUUUCAAAUU